AUUGAACGCUGGCGGCAGGCCUAACACAUGCAAGUCGAGCGAGCGGCGGACGGGUGAGUAAUGUCUGGGAAACUGCCUGAUGGAGGGGGAUAACUACUGGAAAUGGUAGCUAAUACCGCAUACCAUCAGAUGUGCCCAGAGGGGAUUAGCUAGUAGGUGGGGUAACGGCUCACCUAGGCGACGAUCCCGAGCUGGUCUGAGAGGAGGACCAGCCAAACUGGAACUUGGCCACGGUCCAGACUCCUCCGGGAGGCAGCAGUGGGGUAUAUUGCACAAGGGGCGCAAGCCUGAUGCAGCCAUGCCGCGUGUGUGAAGAAGGCCUUCGGGUUGUAAAGCACUUUCAGCGGGGAGGCGUUACCCGCAGAAGAAGCACCGGCUAACUCCGUGCCAGCCGCCGCGGUAAUAC
rnacentral:rRNA from 1 species